AUUGAACGCUGGCGGAAUGCUUUACACAUGCAAGUCGAACGGCAGCACGGGGCAACCUGGUGGCGAGUGGCGAACGGGUGAGUAAUACAUCGGAACGUGCCCAAUCGUGGGGGAUAACGUAGCGAAAGUUACGCUAAUACCGCAUACGAUCUACGGAUGAAAGCGGGGGAUCGCAAGACCUCGCGCGAAUGGAGCGGCCGAUGUCAGAUUAGGUAGUUGGUGGGGUAAAGGCUCACCAAGCCAACGAUCUGUAGCUGGUCUGAGAGGACGACCAGCCACACUGGAACUGAGACACGGUCCAGACUCCUACGGGAGGCAG
rnacentral:rRNA from 1 species